rnacentral:rRNA from 1 species
UAGGGAAUCUUCCGCAAUGGACGCAAGUCUGACGGAGCAACGCCGCGUGAGUGAAGAAGGAUUUCGGUUCGUAAAACUCUGUUGUUAGAGAAGAACAGCGCAUAGAGUAACUGUUAUGCGUGUGACGGUAUCUAACCAGAAAGCCACGGCUAACUACGUGCCAGCAGCCGCGGUAAUACGUAGGUGGCAAGCGUUGUCCGGAUUUAUUGGGCGUAAAGCGAGCGCAGGCAGUCAAUUAAGUCUGAUGUGAAAGCCCCCGGCUCAACCGGGGAGGGUCAUUGGAAACUGGUUGACUUGAAUGCAGAAGAGGAGAGUGGAAUUCCAUGUGUAGCGGUGAUAUGCGUAGAUAUAUGGAGGAACACCAGUGGCGAAGGCGACUCUCUGGUCUGUAACUGACGCUGAGGUUCGAAAGCGUGGGUAGCAAACAG